rnacentral:rRNA from 1 species
UGGGGAAUAUUGGACAAUGGGCGAAAGCCUGAUCCAGCAAUACCGCGUGUGUGAAGAAGGCCUUCGGGUUGUAAAGCACUUUCAAUUGGGAGGAAAACCUACCGGUCAAUACCCGGUAGCUUGACAUUACCUUUCGAAGAAGCACCGGCUAACUCCGUGCCAGCAGCCGCGGUAAUACGGAGGGCGCAAGCGUUAAUCGGAAUUACUGGGGGUAAAGCGUGCGUAGGUGGUUCGUUAAGUCAGAUGUGAAAGCCCUGGGCUCAACCUGGGAACUGCAUUUGAAACUGGCGGACUAGAGUUUAGUAGAGGGGAGUGGAAUUUCAGGUGUAGCGGUGAAAUGCAUAGAUAUCUGAAGGAACACCAGUGGCGAAGGCGACUCCCUGGACUAAAACUGACGCUGAGGUACGAAAGCGUGGGUAGCAAACA